GCACAAGCGGUGGAGCAUGUGGUUUAAUUCGACGCAACGCGCAGAACCUUACCAGCCCUUGACAUGUCCAGGACCGGUCGCAGAGAUGUGACCCUCUCUUCGGAGCCUGGAGCACAGGUGCUGCAUGGCUGUCGUCAGCUCGUGUCGUGAGAUGUUGGGUUAAGUCCCGCAACGAGCGCAACCCCCGUCCCUAGUUGCUACCAUUUAGUUGAGCACUCUAAGGAGACUGCCGGUGAUAAGCCGCGAGGAAGGUGGGGAUGACGUCAAGUCCUCAUGGCCCUUACGGGCUGGGCUACACACGUGCUACAAUGGCGGUGACAAUGGGAUGCUAAGGGGCAACCCUUCGCAAAUCUCAAAAAGCCGUCUCAGUUCGGAUUGGGCUCUGCAACUCGAGCCCAUGAAGUUGGAAUCGCUAGUAAUCGUGGAUCAGCACGCCACGGUGAAUACGUUCCCGGGC
rnacentral:rRNA from 1 species